rnacentral:rRNA from 2 species
CGACAGCGACCUCAGGUCA